GCCAGUGUGCCAUAGUGGUUUAGUUGUUGGACUGUUACUCUAGGAACCAGGGUUCGAUUUCCAGCUCAGCCA